rnacentral:lncRNA from 1 species
AAAAGCAACUUCAAAGUGAAGUGUUAAACACAAAUAUUACAGACAUGAAUUUAUUCGGAAUCAUAGUCCUUGUCGCUCUGUUGAUGGUGGCUUCAGUUACUAUGCCAGUUGGUAAGUAGAAUUGUUGGUACCAUUAAUACGCUUAAUCCCGCUGCAAAUGUUUGCACCUAUCCUGAGUCAGGAAUCUGAUGUACAGUAACUGUCGUUUGUUUAUGUAAUUUAUACAUAUUUCUCGUUUCUCUUUUUCAUAUAUAUAGAUAAGACCGUUGGUUUUCCUGUUUGAAUAGUUUUACACUAAGAUUUUUUGGACCCUUUACAGAUUGUUGUUCGGUAUGAGCCAAGGCUCCGUGUUGAAGGCCGUACAUUGACCUAUAAGGGUUUACUUUUAUAAAUUGUUAUUUGGAUGGAGAGUUGUCUCAUUGGCACUCAUACCACAUUUUCCUAUAUCAAUAGACUGAAAAGAUGUGUUUGAAUCAAAACUCACUAGUUACAAGUAUUUUUGGUUUGAUCGAAUUUGCAUGAUGAAUGUUAAUGACGAAUGCACAUCAAGAGACCCAUAAUCUGAAGAUGCAACUGGUUUAGUUCCAAUUGUAAUGAAUACAAUGCCCUCAAUUUUAGUUAGUUAAUAUAAUUGCGAAUGGAAAUGAGGGAGUAUGUCAAAAGUCCAAACAUUUGAUUGUCACCUACUUAUGGACUUAUGAUUGAGCAUCGAUAAACUAUAUUGUAGUCUUUAUUAAAAGUAAAAUCACAAAAAUACUGAACUCAGAGGAAAAUCAAUUCGGAAAGUCCAUAAUCACAUGGCAAAAUCAAAUAACAAACGCAUCAAAAACGAAUGGACAAGAACUGUCAUAUUCCUGACUUGGUACAGGCAUUUUCAAAUGUAGAAAAUGGUGGAUUGAACCUGAAGAUGUCAAUCGCAUUUCUUGGUUUGGUUCGUUUUCAUUUAAACUUGACAUGUAUAUGUAAAGGACAUAUGUUUACUUGCUUGUCAGAGUAAUUGUAACACAAAGAUAUAAAUGUAUACAUUAUUCAUAUAAUUUUUAAUUUCAGAUGCCUAUGGAAUAUAUAACAGAAGGAGUAAAAGUAAAGGAGGAAGUUCUGGUGGAGGGGUGAGUGAACAUUUUUAUUAUUUAUUCAAGCAAUUAAGGAAACUGCUUUUGUUAUCAUUGUUCUGAAUGCACAUGCCUUUCAUAUUUAAAUACAUGUAAACAAAAUGUAAUGAUGGAUUGUGUAUGACUGGUUAAUUUUGAAUAAAUAUAUACAAAAAUUAAAAUGACAAAAAUAUCAAAACGACAACCAAGAACUGUUAAACACAUAUUUGGAAGUAGGGUUACACAAUUGGUUUACCUCUUAAUGCUCCGAAUGAAUGAACAUGUGAGCAGGUUAAAACUGCUACAUUUUAUGUUGUUAAUACAAACAAAGAUCGGCAUUCAGCUUGAAUUAGAGACGGCAGUAUGCAUAUGUAUCAAAUCAACAAAUUUUUACAAAAUAUUGGCGUUAUUUAACUCAUGUUAAACCCCAAUUAUUUAUUUCAAAUGAAAUAUUUGAUUGUGAGAAUUAAUUUUAGUGCCCAACAAGUUUGUGUGAUAACUAAGAUUAAAAGAGAUGAUAUAUUCACACUGGUCGGUCGACAAAAAAUAGAAGUGCCAUGACUAACUGACUGUAGAUUUAUAAUUAAGCUGAAUGGUCAUAUUUUGAUUUCAUUGACUUAUUGAGUUAGUAAGAGUUCAAUUUGAAUAAAGCCAUCCUGACAAUAGUUAUCAAAGGUACCAGGAUUAUAAAACUGUAAACUGCUACUUUCCAGAUCCGUUAAGUCACACAAGUAUUUUAUCAUGUUUAGACGUACAUGCAUUAUUUUCCAAUGUUUCUCUUCGAAAUAAUAUCGAAUGAAAGCAUAUUAAAGUUAUUUUAUUUUAAUUAACAAUCAUGAUAUCUUAACCUUCGCUUAGUUGAUUCAUAAAUAAUAAAACAAACACAAUAUAAUUCAAACUGGAUCAAAUAAACUCAUCAAAGAUACCAGAACUAAAUUUUGUAUAUACGCUAGACGUGCGUUUCGUCUACAAAAGGCUCAUCAGUGACGCUCAAAUCUAAAAAAGUUAGAAAGGCCAAAUAAAGUGCGAAGUUGAAGAGCAUUAAGGACCAAAAUACUGCAAUACAUCUUAUUUUUAGAAACUUAGUGGCAAUGUAAUUUAGUGAGUUCGAACGUUAAUAACCUACUGAAUUAAACAUAACGUAUUACCAAUAAUCAUGUUAAAGCUAAUCAUACACUACGGAAAUGAUCUCUUUCUUAAAUAUAUCUCAAUUAUUUUACAGAGCAGUGGUCAUGGUGGUAAAUAUGGUAAAUAUGGUGGUAAAUAUGGCGGUAAAAAAGGUGGUAAAUAUGGUGGUAAAUACGGCGGUAAAUAUGGUGGUAAAUAUCAUGGUAACCAUGGAGGAUCAGUCAGAAGUUACCAGUAUAGAGGUUGAUGUUGAUAUUGUUCUGCAC